rnacentral:rRNA from 1 species
AUUGGACAAUGGAGGCAACUCUGAUCCAGCCAUGCCGCGUGCAGGAAGACUGCCCUAUGGGUUGUAAACUGCUUUUAUACGGGAAGAAACACCCCUACGUGUAGGGACUUGACGGUACCGUAAGAAUAAGCAUCGGCUAACUCCGUGCCAGCAGCCGCGGUAAUACGGAGGAUGCAAGCGUUAUCCGGAAUCAUUGGGUUUAAAGGGUCCGUAGGCGGGCAAUUAAGUCAGAGGUGAAAGUUUGCGGCUCAACCGUAAAAUUGCCUUUGAUACUGGUUGUCUUGAAUCAUUGUGAAGUGGUUAGAAUAUGUAGUGUAGCGGUGAAAUGCAUAGAUAUUACAUAGAAUACCAAUUGCGAAGGCAGAUCACUAACAAUGUAUUGACGCUGAGGGACGAAAGCGUGGGGAGCGAACAGGAUUAGAUACCCUGGUAGUCCACGCCGUAAACGAUGGAUACUAGCUGUUCGGCUUCGGCUGAGUGGCUAAGCGAAAGUGAUAAGUAUCCCACCUGGGGAGUACGUU